CAAGUCGAACGGCAGCACGGGAGCAAUCCUGGUGGCGAGUGGCGAACGGGUGAGUAAUACAUCGGAACGUGUCCUGUAGUGGGGGAUAGCCCGGCGAAAGCCGGAUUAAUACCGCAUACGAUCUGUGGAUGAAAGCGGGGGAUCCUUCGGGACCUCGCGCUACAGGGGCGGCCGAUGGCAGAUUAGCUAGUUGGUGGGGUAAAGGCCUACCAAGGCGACGAUCUGUAGCUGGUCUGAGAGGACGACCAGCCACACUGGGACUGAGACACGGCCCAGACUCCUACGGGAGGCAGCAGUGGGGAAUUUUGGACAAUGGGCGAAAGCCUGAUCCAGCAAUGCCGCGUGUGUGAAGAAGGCCUUCGGGUUGUAAAGCACUUUUGUCCGGAAAGAAAACCUCGUGGUUAAUACCCGUGGGGGAUGACGGUACCGGAAGAAUAAGCACCGGCUAACUACGUGCCAGCAGCCGCGGU
rnacentral:rRNA from 1 species